rnacentral:tRNA from 4 species
GGGGCCGUAGCUCAGUUGGGAGAGCGCAGCAAUCGCACUGCUGAGGUCGUCGGUUCGAUCCCGUCCGGCUCCACCA